rnacentral:rRNA from 1 species
AUCACCCGCGGUAAUUCCAGCUCCAAUAGCGUAUAUUAAAGUUGUUGCAGUUAAAAAGCUCGUAGUUGAAUUUCGGGGUCGGUAGAUUGGUCGUGCCUCUGGUAUGCACAGGUCUUACUGGCUCCUCCUUCCUGAUGAACCGUAAUGCCAUUAAUUUGGUGUUGCGGGGAGACUGGACUGUUACUUUGAAAAAGUUAGAGUGUUUAAAGCAGGCUAACGCCUGAAUACAUUAGCAUGGAAUAAUGAAAUAGGACGUUCGAUCUUAUUUUGUUGGUUUCUAAGAUUGACGUAAUGAUUAAUAGGGAUAGUUGGGGGCAUUAGUAUUCAAUUGUCAGAGGUGAAAUUCUUGGAUUUAU